rnacentral:rRNA from 1 species
GAUGAACGCUGGCGGCGUGCCUAAUACAUGCAAGUCGAGCGAACGGACGAGAAGCUUGCUUCUCUGAUGUUAGCGGCGGACGGGCGAGUAACACGUGGAUAACCUACCUAUAAGACUGGGAUAACUUCGGGAAACCGGAGCUAAUACCGGAUAAUAUUUUGAACCGCAUGAUUCAAAAGUGAAAGACGGUCUUGCUGUCACUUAUAGAUGGAUCCGCGCUGCAUUAGCUAGUUGGUAAGGUAACGGCUUACCAAGGCAACGAUGCAUAGCCGACCUGAGAGGGUGAUCGGCCACACUGGAACUGAGACACGGUCCAGACUCCUACGGGAGGCAGCAGUAGGGUAUCUUCCGCAAUGGGCGAAAGCCUGACGGAGCAACGCCGCGUGAGUGAUGAAGGUCUUCGGAUCGUAAAACUCUGUUAUUAGGGAAGAACAUAUGUGUAAGUAACUGUGCACAUCUUGACGGUACCUAAUCAGAAAGCCACGGCUAACUACGUG